GAAGCGACCUCGCGAGAGCAAGCGGACCUCAUAAAGUAYGUCGUAGUCCGGAUUGGAGUCUGCAACUCGACUCCAUGAAGUCGGAAUCGCUAGUAAUCGUGGAUCAGAAUGCCACGGUGAAUACGUUCCCGGGCCUUGUACACACCGCCCGUCACACCAUGGGAGUGGGUUGCAAAAGAAGUAGGUAGCUUAACCUUCGGGAGGGCGCUUACCACUUUGUGAUUCAUGACUGGGGUGAAGUCGUAACAAGGUAACCGUAGGGGAACCUGCGGUUGGAUCACCUCCUUACCUUAAAGAARC
rnacentral:rRNA from 1 species